GAAACUUCUAGGGACCAUUGAUAUGUUCAUUGUCUUUUUUUUUAAAAGAUUGGUCCUGAGCUAACACCUGUUGCCAAUCUUCCUUUUUUUCUUUUUUCCUUCUCUCCAAAGCCCCUCAGUACAUAGUUGUAUAGUCUAGUUGUAGGUCCUUCUAGUUGAGCUGUGUGGGAUGCUGCCUCAGCAUGGUUUGAUGAGCAAUGCUAUGUCUGCACCCAGGAUUCAAACUGGUGAAAUGCCAACCAAGGGGAGCCCGUGAACUUAACCACUUGCCACCACUGGCCGCUGUUCAUUAUCUUAAUUGUGGUAACGAAUUCAUAUGUUAAUAUCUAUACAGUAAGGGUAAGAUGUCCAAGCUUUCUUCGCUGACUGAAGAAGAGGAGAAUGCCUCCUACCCUCUCUUCCUCAGGUUUUCUCCUGAAAAAGGCAAUAGACUCAAGAAAAGAUUUUAACUUUUAAUCUUGCAAUUCAAGGUCAUGAGCCACUGAUCCUUCGACUGCUAAAUACCUACCUCUAAGAUGAACUUAGAAGUCCUUCAAGAGGGGAGUUCAAGACAAUCACAAGAGAUAAUUCUGAUAACUCUCAGAGAGACAGUCAUUCUCAGGAUUCUUUUCUCCAAAGAAUUUUUACUUUCAUUUUCAUCCCUGUACAUUAAACAAAAACCGUAUCCUGGUAAAGGAAUAUUAUUGUUCUUCUCUAAACGUGUUUUAGAGAUGAAAAGAGGGAUAAAAGAUGAAAAGGGAAAGAGAGUGGAGGGAGAAAGAAAGGGGAGAAAGAAGAAAGAGCAAAAGAAAGGAGACUGUCUCAUGAAGUUCAGUGGAGAAGACGUUGACAGAAACGACAAGUAUCAGAGCAGCAAACGGCAGCUGGAUCAAGGAGGCACAUUUAUGUUAAAAGUGACAAGUUCCUGUGGAAAGAUAAAUAUGCUCUCUGUUCUUAAAAAAAAACCUACAUGGAGGCAAAGAAAGGAACAAAGCCUGGAAUAUACCUGUUCUCUAAAGCUGAAUAAGACAUCCCCCUCUGCUCAGAAGCAACCAGAGGCUUCCCAUCUGAUUCAGAGAAGAAACCCAGACCCUGAGUCAGGAAAUAAAAUACAAUCAAAACAGCUUUGGAGUGAAGUCGAUGGAAGGGUUCCGUUGUGGACAGCUGUGGAUGCUGUAACCUUUCUGCACUGA
rnacentral:lncRNA from 1 species